rnacentral:rRNA from 1 species
UACGUAGGGUGCGAGCGUUAAUCGGAAUUACUGGGCGUAAAGCGCACGUAGGCGGCUAUUCAAGUCAGGGGUGAAAGCCCGGGGCUCAACCCCGGAACUGCCUUUGAAACUAGAUAGCUAGAAUCUUGGAGAGGUCAGUGGAAUUCCGAGUGUAGAGGUGAAAUUCGUAGAUAUUCGGAAGAACACCAGUGGCGAAGGCGACUGACUGGACAAGUAUUGACGCUGAGGUGCGAAAGCGUGGGGAGCAAACAGG